AUUGAACGCUGGCGGCAGGCCUAACACAUGCAAGUCGAACGAGUGGCGGACGGGUGAGUAAUGUCUGGGAAACUGCCUGAUGGAGGGGGAUAACUACUGGAAACGGUAGCUAAUACCGCAUACUAUCAGAUGUGCCCAGAUGGGAUUAGCUGGUUGGUGGGGUAACGGCUCACCAAGGCGACGAUCCCUAGCUGGUCUGAGAGUAUGACCAGCCACACUGGAACUGGGCCACGGCCCAGACCCCUACGGGAGGCAGCAUUGGGGAAUAUUGGACAAUGGGCGAAAGCCUGAUGCAGCCAUGCCGCUGGUAUGAAGAAGGCCUUCGGGUUGUAAAGUACGUUAAGCGGGGAGGCGUUACCCGCAGAAGAAGCACCGGCUAACUCCGUGCCAGCAGCCGCGGUAAUAC
rnacentral:rRNA from 1 species